rnacentral:rRNA from 1 species
GUGACCCCAGGACGGGCGAGGCCACCCGCCGAGUUUAAGCAUAUCAAUAAGCGGAGGAUAAG